rnacentral:rRNA from 1 species
AUUAUUAAGCGGAGGAAAAGAAAGCAAAAGCGAUUUCCCAAGUAACGGCGAGUGAACAGGAAGAAGCCUAGCGCUUAGGCUCAAUGGGAUGGUGAGCAGCAAUGUUUGCCGUCGUUUUCGAAAAGCCAUUGAGCGGUGCAGCGUUACAAACUGCGAUGUUUAGUAUUACCAUUGGUAGUAAGUAAAAUUGCUACUCCUAGCUUAGCAUGCAAGUUCCAUUGACUUGGACUAAUUGCAAAUGACUUGGGUUCUGGGUAAAACUGGGGCCCUUGUUGAGCCAUAGUGGGUGAAAGCCCUAUACCGUGCAAGCAUUGGUAAUACGAAUCGUAGCUGGUGUGUUAAAGCAUCAACUUUGUUAGAGUCGAGUUGCUUGAGAGUGCAACUUAAAGUGGGAGGUAAACUACUCCUAAGGCUAUGUAAUACGGCUACGACACCGAUAGCAAACAAGUACCGUGAGGGAAAGUUGAAAUAGAACUUUGUAGAGAGAGUUAACAGGGCGUGAAACCGUUAAUUGGCAAACGAAUCGGAGCCACGAAGUCGUUUCGUUGACAAGUUGGGUUAGAUUCAGUGAAGAAACUAAAAUUUCUUUGCGUAUUUCUAAUUUGGCCAUCAUUGUAAGCGUACACUGCAACCAGUUAGACAAUUAGUGAUGGAAUUAGUCUUUAAAUUCUUCGGGCUUUAUUGGCGUAAUAUUUGUUUGUUUGCAUUAGUAGUAGUGUGGCAUCCUUCGGGGUGUUCAUGUUGCUGGGUGCAUAACAAGUGAGCUAUCACUAAAUACUGACUGGCAAAAUGAAAAUCACUCCUCAUGAGUGUUUACAUAAAAUGCUGUUUGUUACAUACAGGUCUACUUGUUUGACCAUUGGGUUUAAGCUCAACAUUUUUGAAUUUGGACUUGCUGGCUAUCAAUGGGGCAACUCUUGAUGCCAGUAUAGUCUCCAUCUAAUCGGGUGUUGACUUGGCUGGAUGUCGCUUGAACAAGAAUCGUUUGGGCUUAUAUGUAAUCAAACUAGCCAUUGAUUGGCAGUGAGUAGGUCGGCUUUCCGAACGACCCGUCUUGAAACACGGACCAAGGAGUCUAAUUAGGUAUCGAGUCGAUCGGUCUUGAAUAGGCCAGACAUAAUGAACAACUCGUUCAUUUAAUUGAAGGCGUAGAGAAAUCAAAUCAUGUGAUCACUGGAUUAAUUUCAAAUCCUUUGCGCAACAUGUGCCUGUUCGUAUAAGAUUGUAGCAAUACAUCUUGGGCGGAGCAAAGAGAUACCUGAUUGGUACCCGAAAGAUGGUGAACUAUGCCUGGGCAAAUUGAAGCCAGAGGAAACUCUGGUGGAGGAUUGUAGCGGUUCUGACGUGCAAAUCGAUCGUCAGACCUGGGUAUAGGGGCGAAAGACUAAUCGAACCAUCUAGUAGCUGGUUCCCUCCGAAGUUUCCCUCAGGAUAGCUAGCGCUCGUUGUAAUUAGUUUCAUCUGGUAAAGCGAAUGAUUAGAGGAAUUGGGAGCGAAACGCCCUCAACCUAUUCUCAAACUUUAAAUGGGUGAGAUGUGCGACAUACUUAAGUGAUGCCGCAUGUUUGUAACGAAUAAAUUGAGCGCUAAGUGGGCCAUUUUUGGUAAGCAGAACUGGCGAUGCGGGAUGAACCGAAAGUAAAGUUAAAGUUGCCGAUAAUAGUAACGAACUCUCUUAGUUACUUACUACACUCAUGAGAUCCCAUAAAAGGUGUGACCCGCUGAAGACAGCAAGGAUGUGGCCAUGGAAGUCGGAAUCAUCUAAGGAGUGUGUAACAACUCACUUGCCGAAGCGCGUCGCCCUGAAAAUGGAAGCAGCUCGAGUGUUGAACUUAUACUUUACCGUUGGAAUAUAGAUUUGAAAUGAAUUCAAUUGGCAGAUUCCAACGUGUAGGAGGGUUGUGUUGGUGGCAUUGAAGGGUAUGAGGGAGUGAUCCUGCCUGGAGCCGCCAAUAGURCAGAUCUUGGUGGUAGUAGCAAAUACUCAAGUGAGACCCUUGAGGGCCAAUGUGGAGAAGGGUUUCCUGCUAACAGCAAUUGAACAGGAGUCAAUCGGUCCUAAGCGAAUGGCGAAAGCUAUUUCUGAAUCAAAGGCAAUGUUAGUUAAACGAUAAAAAAUUACAUAAAACUAAUUAGUUUUCGUAAGAAAAAAUAUCAUUGCAUGACGCGAAAGGGAAAACGGUUAAUAUUCCGUUAUCAAGAUGGGGAGAUUAUCGCUGAAUUGUGUUUACUCAUGAUUUUGUCGAUAUUGGCGGUAACGCAAACAAGCACAUCGACGCCGUCGCCAGAAUGGGGAAGAGUUUUCUUUUCUUCCUAAGUUUACUUAGUUUUUAACGAGUCCCUGGAAUCGAUUCACUCGAAGAUAGGUGAUGUAGUAAACGUAAAAUCAUACGGUUCUAGUAUGAUCCCAAUUUCUGUUGACGGCCCUUGAAAAGAUGUGUAAGCGGAGCUUGUAUGGGCUAGCAAUAGUUCAUGCAAGUGUUGAUUCUCUCACUUGGCC